rnacentral:tRNA from 1 species
AGCAGUGUGGCUCAGUGGAAAGAGCCCGGGGCUUAGGAGUCAGAGGUCACAGGUUUAAAUUCUGGCUCUGCCA